rnacentral:rRNA from 1 species
GAACGAAGCACUUAUCUUUGAUUCUUCGGAUGAAGAGAUUUGUGACUGAGUGGCGGACGGGUGAGUAACGCGUGGGUAACCUGCCUCAUACAGGGGGAUAACAGUUAGAAAUGACUGCUAAUACCGCAUAAGACCACAGAGCCGCAUGGCUCGGUGGGAAAAACUCCGGUGGUAUGAGAUGGACCCGCGUCUGAUUAGGUAGUUGGUGGGGUAACGGCCUACCAAGCCAACGAUCAGUAGCCGACCUGAGAGGGUGACCGGCCACAUUGGGACUGAGACACGGUCCAAACUCCUACGGGAGGCAGCAGUGGGGAAUAUUGCACAAUGGGGGAAACCCUGAUGCAGCGACGCCGCGUGAGCGAAGAAGUAUUUCGGUAUGUAAAGCUCUAUCAGCAGGGAAGAAAAUGACGGUACCUGACUAAGAAGCACCGGCUAAAUACGUGCCAGCAGCCGCGGUAAUACGUAUGGUGCAAGCGUUAUCCGGAUUUACUGGGUGUAAAGGGAGCGUAGACGGCUGUGUAAGUCUGAA